rnacentral:sRNA from 1 species
GGGGAACACGCGGGUGCUGUCACGUGAUCCGACAAACGGCCUCUGCAUAGUGCAGAACAUUCUGCUGCUCUUAAAGACCCUCAUCCCUCCCGUGGGAGCCCCCUUUGGACACUCUAUGACCCUGGACCCUCGGGGGACCUGAACUUGAUGCGAUGGGAGGCUGUGCAGGCUCGCGGCGGCGCUUUUCGGAUUCCGAGGGGGAGGAGACCGUCCCGGAGCCCCGGCUCCCUCUGUUGGACCAUCAGGGCGCGCAUUGGAAGAACGCGGUGGGCUUCUGGCUGCUGGGCCUUUGCAACAACUUCUCUUAUGUGGUGAUGCUGAGUGCUGCCCACGACAUCCUUAGCCACAAGAGGACAUCGGGAAACCAGAGCCAUGUGGACCCAGGCCCAACGCCGAUGCCCCACAACAGCUCAUCACGAUUUGACUGCAACUCUGUCUCUACGGCUGCUGUGCUCCUGGCGGACAUCCUCCCCACACUCGUCAUCAAAUUGUUGGCUCCUCUUGGCCUUCACCUGCUGCCCUACAGCCCCCGGGUUCUCGUCAGUGGGAUUUGUGCUGCUGGAAGCUUCGUCCUGGUUGCCUUUUCUCAUUCUGUGGGGACCAGCCUGUGUGGUGUGGUCUUCGCUAGCAUCUCAUCAGGCCUUGGGGAGGUCACCUUCCUCUCCCUCACUGCCUUCUACCCCAGGGCCGUGAUCUCCUGGUGGUCCUCAGGGACUGGGGGAGCUGGGCUGCUGGGGGCCCUGUCCUACCUGGGCCUCACCCAGGCCGGCCUCUCCCCUCAGCAGACCCUGCUGUCCAUGCUGGGUAUCCCUGCCCUGCUGCUGGCCAGCUAUUUCUUGUUGCUCACAUCUCCUGAGGCCCAGGACCCUGGAGGGGAAGAAGAGGCAGAGAGCGCAGCCCGGCAGCCCCUCAUAAGAACCGAGGCCCCGGAGUCGAAGCCAGGCUCCAGCUCCAGCCUCUCCCUUCGGGAAAGGUGGACAGUGUUCAAGGUUCGGAUGAUGGCUGGGGUAUGUCCCUGUGGGGCUUGCUCACCUCCAGGCCCCCCGCUUAUAUCUUCUGCCUUUUCCAGGGUCUGCUGUGGUACAUUGUUCCCUUGGUCGUAGUUUACUUUGCCGAGUAUUUCAUUAACCAGGGACUUGUAAGUGAGGGGUGCUAGGAGGGGUGUGGAGGUGGCGAUUGGGGCUGGGACCCACACGGCCCCGUCCAUCUCCCCUGUCUGGUAUUUGUUGCAGUUUGAACUCCUCUUUUUCCGGAACACUUCCCUGAGUCACGCUCAGCAAUACCGCUGGUAAGAGGAGCGAGGGCAGUGGGCUGGGAGGGCGCCGUGGUGAUGCAGCUGCCCUGCCCAGUAGGCACCGGGGGGAGCGGGAUGGUCCCUGGAGGAGCCUCCUCUCCUACCCUCAACCCUAACCUCAGGUACCAGAUGCUGUACCAGGCUGGCGUCUUUGCCUCCCGCUCUUCUCUCCGCUGCUGUCGCAUCCGUUUCACCUGGGCCCUGGCCCUGCUGCAGAUGGAGUCUCGCUCUGUUGCCCAGGCUGGAAUGUAGCGGUGCAAUCUUGGCUCACUGCAACCCCUGCCUCCCAGAUUCAAGCGAUUCUCAAGCCUCAGCCUUCCGAGUAGCUGGGAUUACAG